CUGGGUGUGCACCAAGUAUGGAGCGACCCAGCACGACAUCCCGAGCGAAGCGAGCAGAGGUCGACGCAGGUCAACGCAGCUGGGAAGACCAAGCGUAGGUCACGGUUGGUACAGGAGUUGGACACCAUGGCGAGUUGGAGACCGACAGAAAGCUCAGCGCGCGGCAAGGAACUCGACGUGCGCAGAGAAACAGAGACUGAGCUAAGCUCGACAUCGGACAAAACACUGCGCAGUAUGGCGUUCAGCUGCGCAAGCACAAGGAGCGCGACGCAGCGGCCAUGGAAGGUGCUGUUUCGUACAAGACCUCGGCUUGGGUUGAGCAGUGAGCCGGCCAUGGGAAAAACCUCGGCGAGGUCACGGCCAGCGAGCUGA
rnacentral:misc_RNA from 1 species